UGCGGGAUCGUCUAACGGUAGGACACGAGACUUUGGAUCUCGGUAUCAUGGUUCGAAUCCAUGUCCCGCAGCAA
rnacentral:tRNA from 1 species